GUCCUUUCCCUACCUCACUACCAUUAGUAAAAUCUAGUCACCUAAUAAAAUACACUGAUUCCUGAUCCUCCCUUACUCUUACCCAUAAAGCUAGAGAUGAAGGAAAUUUUGAAAAAUGCCCUCAAGUCCUUAAGUCUAAAUAAUAGGUUGUCCUUUCCCUGCCUUGCCAUGAUAAACAAUAUGUAGUCACCUAAUAAAAUACUAUUCCUGACCCUCCCUUACUCUUACCCAUAAAGCUAGAGACGAAGGAAAGUUUGAAAAAUGCCCUCAAGUCCUUAAGUCUAAAUAAUAGGUUGUCCUUUCCCUGCCUCACCACCAUCAACAAUAUCAAAUCACCGAAUAAAACACUAUUCCUGACCCUCCUUCACUCUUC